rnacentral:rRNA from 1 species
CCUACGGGAGGCAGCAGUGAGGAAUAUUGGUCAAUGGGCGGGAGCCUGAACCAGCCAAGUCGCGUGAGGGAUGACGGCCCUAUGGGUUGUAAACCUCUUUUGCCGGGGAGCAAAGUGCCGCACGUGUGCGGGUUGGAGAGUACCCGGAGAAAAAGCAUCGGCUAACUCCGGGCCAGCCGCCGCGGUAACACGGAGGACGCGAGCGGUAUCCGGAUUCAUGGGGGUGCAGGGGGGCGUAGGGGGACGCUUAACUCAGCGGGAGCAUGGCGGGGCGCAGCCCCGUCGAGCCGUGGAAACGGGGUGCCGGGAGGGGGCGAGAGGUACGCGGAAUGCGUGGGGUAGCGGUGGAAUGCAUAG